rnacentral:rRNA from 1 species
AACGAACGCUGGCGGCAUGCCUAACACAUGCAAGUCGAACGAGACCUUCGGGUCUAGUGGCGCAAGGGUGCGUAACGCGUGGGAACCUGCCCUUAGGUUCGGAAUAACUCCCCGAAAGGGGUGCUAAUACCGGAUAAUGUCUUCGGACCAAAGAUUUAUCGCCUUUGGAUGGGCCCGCGUUGGAUUAGCUAGUUGGUAGGGUAAAAGCCUACCACGGCGACGAUCCAUAGCUGGUCUGAGAGGAUGAUCAGCCACACUGGGACUGAGACACGGCCCAGACUCCUACGGGAGGCAGCAGUGGGGAAUAUUGGACAAUGGGCGAAAGCCUGAUCCAGCAAGGACGCGUGAGUGAUGAAGGCCUUAGGGUUGUAAAGCUCUUUUAACCGGGAUGAUAAUGACAGUACCGGGAGAAUAAGCUCCGGCUAACUCCGUG